GAUUUUAGUUGAUUGUAGAAUAUAAUUUGAUUAUUACCUUGAAAAGAGGUUGUUUAAAAAGAUUACUAUAGAGUUUGUAUAACUUUAAUUUCUUUUGAUAGUGGCUUUUAAGAUUGGUUUUGAUUGAUAGUAACUUCUAAAUAUUUAGAGUCACCUUUGUUAGACAUUGGUGACCUGUGAAAACUUAUUUUGGUUCUCUUAUUUGGUGUUUAGAACAUAAAUUAUAUAAAUCUUAUAAGAAAAAAGAUUGAAGAAGGGUUUUAGUAGCAAAGAGAGUUUAGGACAUCCAUAUAGAUGAAUGGAGAUGGAUGAUAAAAAUCUCUAUUCGUAUUGGUCAAAAAUCAUGACAAAUAGGCUUUGAAGAGGCUGCCCGUGGCCAUAUUAGAGAUUAGGGUUAGUUUUUUGGGGCUAUUUGAGCUUUAAAGGCUAGGAUCAAUAAAUUUAGGAUUUUGGCUAUGAUUUUGGUACAAAUCUUAUAUGAUUUAGAAUUUAUAUGAAGGAGAUAUAGGCACUCAAAGUUAAGGUGUUGAUUUGGGAGCUAUUGUCACUAUUUUUGACAUAACACACGCGUACAGAGGGCAAUUGAGGAUUAGCAACUGUAAUUGGAGAGAGCACUUUUGCGGCUAUACUUUUUAUAUACUACUUGUUAGAUUCUAAGUUGAAAUAAAAGAGUUAUUGGAUUUUGAAGUUAGCACAUGUAAUCUAAAGUUAGUAAGUAACCUGAUUUACUAGUAGUUGUGUCUUGAGCUAUAUCUUGAGCAAUUUGAUAAGGUUUUUGCUUAAAAUUUCGGAGAAUGUGUAAAUUCAUGUUAAUAAACUUUAUACAUAAAUUUGAUGGAAUUUGAGUAUUGGAUUCUUGAAAUAUUAAGAAAAUAGUAUUUGGAUGCAUAUAAAUUAGGAUUUAGAGCAUCUACUAGGAUUUCUUAGAUGCCAAAAGAUCGAAA
rnacentral:lncRNA from 1 species